rnacentral:rRNA from 1 species
GAUGAACGCUGGCGGCGUGCCUAAUACAUGCAAGUCGAGCGAACAGACGAGGAGCUUGCUCCUCUGACGUUAGCGGCGGACGGGUGAGUAACACGUGGAUAACCUACCUAUAAGACUGGGAUAACUUCGGGAAACCGGAGCUAAUACCGGAUAAUAUAUUGAACCGCAUGGUUCAAUAGUUAAAGACGGUUUUGCUGUCACUUAUAGAUGGAUCCGCGCCGCAUUAGCUAGUUGGUAAGGUAACGGCCUACCAAGGCAACGAUGCGUACCCGACCUGAGAGGUUGAACGGCCACACAGGAACUGAGAAACGGUCCAGACUCCUACGGGAGGCAGCAGUAGGGAAUCUUCCGCAAUGGGCGAAAGCAUGACGGAGCAACGCCGCGUGAGUGAUGAAGGUCUUCGGAUCGUAAAACUCUGUUAUUAGGGAAAAACAAAUGUGUAAGUAACUAUGCACGUCUUGACGGUACCUAAUCAGAAAGCCACGGCUAACUACGUG